rnacentral:rRNA from 1 species
UACGUAGGGGGCAAGCGUUGUCCGGAAUCAUUGGGCGUAAAGCGCGCGUAGGCGGCCCGUUAAGUCCGCUGUAAAAGUCCAGGGCUCAACCCUGGAAAGCCGGUGGAUACUGUCGGGCUAGAGUCCGGAAGAGGCGAGUGGAAUUCCUGGUGUAGCGGUGGAAUGCGCAGAUAUCAGGAGGAACACCGAUGGCGAAGGCAGCUCGCUGGGACGGUACUGACGCUGAGGCGCGAAAGCGUGGGGAGCGAACAGG